GAUUAUUAGUUGGGGAGGAAUAAACCAGGAAAAAUUCUAGUCUCCAAGAAACACACGAACAAAUUAUUCGUUGGGGUUGAAGACGACUUCUAGAUUCUAAGGUUUCGAAUCACCCAUAUGUAUACGACCCAUCGACACAUACAUAUACUUACCUUUAUUUGUUCAGCGUUUCUUACUUUGUGUGUGCUGCUAGUUUCAUUUUGGCGUGAAAUUACUAUUUUCCUCACGGUGUAAACUGUUUCUUCUUCAUUUUGUAAAGCCAUAUCACCAAUGCUCACCAGGUGUUCGACCAUUUGUCCCACUGACCAGUGUGUAGGUUUUCCAAUUGUUGUUAUUAAUUUAUUUUGAGAUUGUCAUUGUCAUAACAAAGAUGUUUUCUCUGAGAUUCUCGAACUCAGCUAAGCUCACCCACUCCAUAACUAUUGCUACAGAUCUGUAAACUCCUAAUACUUGUCUUUUUACGGAUUUGCGUUAGGUUUUGUUCAUCCAUAAUCUUACUCUGCCAAGGUUUUGCUUUAUGAAUAUGGGACUUUAUGCACAUUCUUACAAGUCCAAGUUCGUCUAAUUCAAGAAAAAAAUCAAUCCCAUCGUGAGCUCCAUCAGUGGAAUCAAUCAGCUAUUUUACUUCUCUGUUCAGUCCAAGUUUUUCAUUGAGAAGUUAAAAUGUUUCUGGCGUGUGUUUGAAUUGCAGGAGCAACUAGAGAAGAAGAAAGCAUAGUAAGCAGAGAAGAUGAAGAAUAAGGUUGCAGUGAUUCACAAGAAAGCCAAAGAGAUGAGAAGAUAUUCUUCAAGCAGAAGAAAGUACUGCUUAAUACAGAGCCACUGGAAUUGCAAAUCGAAAUUUCAAGAGUUAUCAAUUGUAAAGUGUAAACAUUCUUUCUGAUGUAUUCGAUGGCUUGUAAUCGUGUUUGUGUACUGUUCUUGUGUGUAAAAACUACAUAGUGAAAAAUUUGUCCAUUCUUUUACUUACACAAUUUUCUAAAGCAUUGUCAAAUCAUAAAGACGAUAUAUUUUCGGUGAUCAGGAUUAAAGUUG
rnacentral:lncRNA from 1 species